UAACAAUGAUUUCCCUAGUAACGGCGAGUGAAGAGGAAAGAGCUCAAAGUUGGAACCUGUUUGGCCUAGCUAAACAGGAUUGUAAACUGUAGAAGUGUUUUCCAGGCAAUCCGAGUUAAUAAGUCCUUUGGAACAGGGCAUCAUAGAGGGUGAGAAUCCCGUCUUUGAUUCGAGAUAUUUUGUCUUUUGCGAUACACUUUCAAAGAGUCAGGUUGUUUGGGAAUGCAGCCUAAAUUGGGUGGUAAAUCUCACCUAAAGCUAAAUAUUGGCGAGAAACCGAUAGCGAACAAGUACCGUGAGGGAAAGAUGAAAAGAACUUUGAAAAGAGAGUUAACAGUAUGUGAAAUUGUUAAAAGGGAACCGUUUGGAGCCAGACUGGCUUGUCUGUAAUCAAUCUAGGUUUCGUGCCUGGAUGCACUUGCAGACUAUUUGCCUGCCAACGACAAUUUUUUUUGAGUGUAAAAACUAUUGGAAAUGUGGCCAAUAUUUAUUUAUUGGUGUUAUAGUCCUUUAGAAAAUACCUUGAAUUGGAUUGAGGAACGCAGCGAAUGCUUCUCUUUUGAGGCAAAGUCUUUUAUUGGGAUUUACGGAUCAGACUGUGGCAUUGUCACAAGACUUGAAGUUUAAACCUAUUUUUGAACUUUUAUUCGCUUAGGUUGUUGGCUUAAUGA
rnacentral:rRNA from 1 species